AUCGAACGCUGGCGGCAGGCCUAAUACAUGCAAGUCGAACGAGUGGCGGACGGGUGAGCAAUGUCUGGGAAACUGCCUGAUGGAGGGGGCUAACUACUGGAAACGGUAGCUAAUACCGCAUACCAUCGGAUGUGCCCAGAUGGGAUUAGCUAGUAGGUGGGGGAAAGGCUCACCUAGGCGACGAUCCCUAGCUGGUCUGAGAGGAUGACCGGCCACACUGGAACUGAGACACGGUCCAGACUCCUACGGGAGGCAGCAGUGGGGAAUAUUGCGCAAUGGGCGCAAGCCUGAUGCAGCCAUGCCGCGUGUAUGAAGAAGGCUUUCGGGUUGUAAAGUACUGUUGGCAGGGAGGCGUUACCCACAGAAGAAGCAACGGCUAACUCCGUGCCAGCAGCCGCGGUAAUAC
rnacentral:rRNA from 1 species